AAGGCACCUUUUCCCAGGCCUGCCAGACUCAAAGGAUUCCCUCACUUCACACAGCCUUGCAUCAGUUGUGCAAGGCCAGUGGGAGGCUGCUUUGUUGGCCCAGUAGCUCCCAACACUGUCAGACUCAUAUUUCACCUGUGCCAGAGCUGCCUGGUCAGGUAUGAUGCCACGCCAAGCCAAGCUUGAGGAGCUCUACCAGCAAUCAUAUUCCUGUCCAUAAAUCCCAUUUUUCUCUGUGAGUGGCUGCUGCUUUCUCUUUAGCCACUUCCUUACACCACUGCACCCACAUCUUCAUCAGCUACACUAGUAACUCCCCAUGUCACUGAGGGCUUGUCUAAAACUCUUUUUUUUUUUUUUUGGCACAGGAAAACAAGUUGGAAAUACUAGAAAUUCUUGCAUAAAAUCCUACAUUGGUAUAGCAUCAUUCUAAAGGUGUGUCAUGUUAAAAACUUUUAAGAAACAAGAAUGAAAACACCAAGAAAAUCAAGGUGUUCUUUCAAGACUGAUUUGAUUGUCUAAGACACCUGCAGCAAAUCUGUUUUUCUAGGUUAGGUUUCCUUUG